UGGGGAAUAUUGGGCAAUGGAGGCAACUCUGACCCAGCAACGCCGCGUGAAUGAAGAAGGCCUUCGGGUUGUAAAGUUCUUUAAUUGGGGACGAAGGAAAUGACGGUACCCAAAGAAUAAGCCACGGCUAACUACGUGCCAGCAGCCGCGGUAAUACGUAGGUGGCAAGCGUUGUCCGGAAUGACUGGGCGUAAAGGGAGCGUAGGCGGCGCGGUAAGUUAGGAGUGAAAUCCCGGGGCUCAACCCCGGAACUGCUUUUAAAACUGCCGUGCUUGAGUGAUGGAGAGGAAAGCGGAAUUCCUAGUGUAGCGGUGGAAUGCGUAGAUAUUAGGAGGAACACCAGAGGCGAAGGCGGCUUUCUGGACAUUAACUGACGCUGAGGCUCGAAAGCGUGGGGAGCAAACAGG
rnacentral:rRNA from 1 species